CAAACGUAUGUAGUGAGAUUCCACCCUUGUUGAAAGCCUUGUGGAGACCUCUAGAUUUUUAAAUUCCCUCCGUUUUUCUCAUGGAUGGAGUGUGGUCUCUCUGUAAAUUACCCCAUAUCUUUUCAUUUUCCUAUUUACCGAAGGUUCCAUGUGAAAAUUUCCAUUGGAUCAUAUCUGUUAAACUAAAUGUACAAAACAGGCUCAAGAAAAGGCGAAAUUUCUUUUUCAAACCCGAACUAGAAAUCCAUUUUUUUUUCUAAUAGAGCACCUUACAUUAUCGUCAAUGAGUUCAGGCAUGUGAAAAAUUAUAUAAUCAUACACAAGAAAGAAACCCUGAACAGGCUUUCAGCAAUAAUUUUUACCUAUUUAAUAUUAAGUAAAUAUUAACAUGUACAUGUAUUUGAUAAAGUACAGAUAUAACAAAGAAACUGCCCGGUAUCCGACGUAAGAGUACACUUUUUACUGCACGCGUAGUCGGGUGCGUUCACUACGAGGACACUUGUACUCAACUACGCGUGAAGUAUGAGUACAGAAUCGUCCCAUACAGGACAUUUUUUUGUGUUAUCCUAGUAUAUUAUCCGACAGUUAAGAAUAGAAUCUGAUCAAAUUUUGAAGUUGAACAUGUGGGAAUUUUUUA
rnacentral:lncRNA from 1 species